AAGUCGUAACAAGGUAACCGUAGGUGAACCUGCGGUUGGAUCAUUAUCAGAAUGAGAAAUGGGGGCCAAGGCUUGGGCUGCUCUGUAGGUUAAACCCUCGCGGCAGGUCGGGCAGCCUUUGGCCUUCGGGUCUAACUUUGAACUACAGAACCAGUCUGAUUCCCCGCCGACCGUAGGGGAUAGGUAGGCAGCGCUCCGCUUGGAGCGUCCGACUAGUUUUGAACUACAGUGCAGGCCUGAUUCCCCCUCCGCCCGUGGGGGAUAGGUAGGCAGCGCUCCUGUUGGGAGUGUCCGGCCAUGUUCACACACUUUGCAAAAACAUUUUUUCAAUGACUUGUGCAAUGCAAAAACAACUUUUGGCAACGGAUCUCUUGGCUCUC
rnacentral:misc_RNA from 1 species